CACCUACAUUCCGGGCGUCGGCAACGAACUGAAACUUCCGAUCGCGCUGGCACUGAUCAUCGUCGUGCUUGUCAUCAAACCGUCCGGUCUGUUCGGCCGCGCCAUCGUACAGCGAGUUUAAUCAUGAGCACAGUUCAGGACUCCAUUUCCACACCUGCGGCGGGCGAUGCCGAGCCGAANNNNNNNNNNNGGCCUCGGCACGACGCUUGUCGUGUUCGCGCUGCUGGUCAUCACGCCGCUGUUCGUGAAGAACUUCAUCAUCUUCCAGAUGACGAUGGUGCUGAUCUACGCCAUCGCCAUCCUGGCCCUCAAUCUGCUCACCGGCGGCAGCGGGCAGUUCUCGCU
rnacentral:misc_RNA from 1 species